rnacentral:tRNA from 1 species
UAGCUUGGUGGUCAAGGCGUCUGCCUUGUAAGCGCUAGGUCGCGGGUUCGAUUCCCGC